UACGUAGGGGGCAAGCGUUAUCCGGAUUUACUGGGUGUAAAGGGAGCGUAGACGGCUUUGCAAGCCAGAUGUGAAAGCCCGGGGCUCAACCUCGGGACUGCAUUUGGAACUGUAUGGCUGGAGUAUCGGAGAGGCAGGCGGAAUUCCUAGUGUAGCGGUUAAAUGCGUAAAUAUUAGGAGGAACACCAGUGGCGAAGGCGGCCUGCUGGGCUUUAACUGACGCUGAGGCUCGAAAGUGUGGGUAUCAAACAGG
rnacentral:rRNA from 1 species